AAUACCUCAUAGUAUGUGAGGAUGGCAUCAUUUCACAUUAAAGUCACAACGGCAAAAGAUGGGCAUGCGUCCUAUUAGCUAGAUGGUAAGGUAACGGCUUACCAUGGCUACGAUAGGUAGGGGUCCUGAGAGGGAGAUCCCCCACACUGGUACUGAGACACGGACCAGACUCCUACGGGAGGCAGCAGUGAGGAAUAUUGGACAAUGGGCGCAAGCCUGAUCCAGCCAUGCCGCGUGCAGGAAGAAGCAUCUAUGGUGUGUUAAACUGCUUUUGUACGGGAAGAAACACUCCUUACGUGUAGGAGCUUGACGGUACCGUAAGAAUAAGGAUCGGCUAACUCCGUG
rnacentral:rRNA from 1 species